AAAUUGAAGAGUUUGAUCAUGGCUCAGAUUGAACGCUGGCGGCAGGCCUAACACAUGCAAGUCGAACGGU
rnacentral:rRNA from 16 species